UAGAGCUUAGUGCUGGUGGAAACUGUUGGAGACUGGACAUUUGCCUCAGAGUUUCCUCAGCUGAGUGGGAAAGGAGCUGGGAUAUUUCUCUGCUACUUCUGACCAUCACGGACUUCUGCUGGAGACACUGGUCAUCAAGUAAUGCAGGUUUGUCCUAUGUGUGGGUGGAGUGGUCACCCUAAUGAUCAGAAAAGCUGCCAGAGAAUGAGCUGCAGGUUUCUCUAAGAAGCAGCUUCUGGUAUAGAGACGAGCUUGGUUGAGAGAUGGAGUGCAUUGAUGAGUGCCCGGUCCAUCAGCACAGGUUGUCUCUUCCCAGGACUCCCCCAACCUCUCAGUGACUUUGUGUCUGUAACGUGACUCCUUAGAUACUGUUCUUCCACACACCCAACACCUAGCCACAUUCUUGAGCUGAUCUGGAUUUCACCCACCAGCUUCUCGGAUCACUCCCAGCUGGUUCCAGAAGGUUCCAAGCUCUGAACAUAGCAGAUUUUCUUUAUAAAUACAGUCUUCCUUACCUGGAAUUAUAAAGAUCCUAGAUCUGUCACGGGCCUCCUCUUCUAUCCCUGAUGUACUUGUUUUAUUC
rnacentral:lncRNA from 1 species